CGAAGCGCACGAACUCCGUGUCGUCCACGUAGCCGACUUCCAUGUACCGGGGCUCCCCGAGGCCGGGCCGGGACACGACGGUGUGGAAAUACCGCAGCGAGUGUGAGCCUGGGGGCGGCGCGCGAAGUCGACCCUGGAGUCUUCCAGAAGAAAAGCCUCUUCCGGGCAUACAGUGGCAACAACAAGCAGUUGGGGACACAGAGAGAAGCUGUCCUUAAGUAGAGGCGCUGGCCUGCGAGCCCCUCACAGACCCCACAGAGACCAGGCUCUGUCCACCUGCAGACCAAGCAGCUCCGGAACCUGCUAAAAAUGACGGAGACUCAGCAGCUACCCGGACAAUCUCCCGGGUUCCUCUGUGGUAAUCUCGAUGUCCUUGGGAGCAGAGGGCCCAGGGCAGCGUCAGUCUUCUCUGCCAGGCUCAGAGGGUCUAACAGACUUUCCUGUGGGCUAGGACUUGGGGGACCGGCCUGCUCUGUCUCAGCAACGCAGGACAGUCAACUCCCCAGUGUCCUGCUUGUCCACAGUUUGGACAGGGUCCUGGCGACGGGCAAGGGAAAGGGGAGUUUUUCAUCCAGUGGCUGACUGUGCCACAUUCCCAGCAAGCUCCAAGUGGAGUUCUUCCACCACAUCAUCAGCUGUGUGACCUUGGGGUCACUGCUAGAACCUGGGGGUCUUUGUCAUCGUAAGCCUUUUCCGUUAAACAUUUUAAAUGCCAUAGUCAACAGAUCUGGAAAGGUUUUGAGGACCUUUAUCUGGUAAGUGUAUUUAAACUAAACAAGCUUUGCUUGUUUCUAGUUACUUGUUUUAGAAAAUAUACAGGAGGCUAAAUAAGCUGAUUUCUGUAAUUAAUUACAUCAGGACUUAGCGUGACAGCAGGGAGAGCUUUGCACACAUGAAAGCAUUUGACCAUUUAUAUGGUGCCUAUUAACCAGCAUGUCUUAUUUGUCUUCAACAGUUUACAAUAAGUCAGUAGCUUUCAUAAGAUUAGGGUUUUAUAGCUUUAUCCAUGUUAAGUUUUAGCUUUAAAAAUCCGAGUUAAAGACCCUUUAGCAACAAAAGAAACGAUCAAGGCAGUAAACUUUAGUCCAUAGGAAACUGGUAUCUUGAGCUGGGUGUGGUGGCACACACCUGUAGUCCCAGCACUCUGGGAGGCAGAGGCAGGAGGAUCACUGGGAGUUCGAGGCCAGCCUGGUCUAGGCAGUGAGUCUAGGACAGCCAAGGCUACACAGAGGAACCCUGUCUCAAAAGAAAAAAAAAACUUUUAAAAACAGACUGGUAUUUUUUACAGUGUACCAUUAGAGAAUAUAAUAGUUUUUGUAUGACUCAGUUUAUCCAGAUAACUAAAGCUUAGCUAGUUGGGCAAAGACAAAGAAGCUAGACAAAUAUUACUGUCCUAUCUGGAGCACAGCUGUCAGUUCUCAGAUGAAGAACAGAACCUGAUAUAGACAUACAUGUAGUCAAACAGCAUUGUACAUGAAAUAAAAAUAAAAUUUUAAAAGUGUACAUGGGGGAAGGGAUUACCUAUUCUGGGUACAGGGUCUCUAUAGGUGAGCAGUCUCGGGCUGGAACAGGAGGCCACAGGUGAUAAUCUUUGCACACAUUGAUCAAUACUUCAUAACCUCUCACACUUGGACUCCCAAGGAAAGCUUUGCCACCCUUCAUGAGCCAGGCCUAUAUGAAUAAUGGCUUUGCCAAUGUACCAGGGGCCCCUUGUUCUUGGCGUCCUAAACCGGCCAUGCCCAAGUCAAAAUACACUUUCACUCAGGAACUCGCUCACUCAGGGCUGCCUCUGCUACCUAUGAAUCAGCUGUCAAGAAAAUGCCCCAGAGGAGGCAACACUUAUAAAUGGCCCCAAGCAGGACAUGAAGCCGAAAUUCCAGGAGGGAGAGUGAGUGCUGUGCUUUCCCGGGCCUCUUCUUAAGGAAGCAAAGUGUGUACAGGUUGCCAUAAAGGACAAACAAGUGAAAUCCUUUAUCCAUUACUGUGGUUGGAAUAAAAAAAAAAGUGCCGUGAGGCCCGGUGGCUCUGAAAAACCUUUGAAGACCCGUGAGGGUAGUGCAGCCCUUUUCCUCUUCCUGAAGAGCUCCCUCAGCACAGCACCCCUCCUGACCUCUAGUCGGGAUGGGUGGGUUCCAGAAAGCAGAGUACUCAGACAGGUGCACACCAGUUUGCAGAAGCAGCGAGAACUCCAAAAGGCCAAUCAGGAUCAGAGUGCAGAGAGCAAGAGGAGUGAGCUGCUCCAGGAAAGAAGACUCUGGUCUGCAACAGAAAAAUGUUGAAGUGAAAACAAAAGAGAAAAGAACAGGCAGAAAAGGCCUGGAAAUGGAGAUGGUGGCAGUACCAGUGACACCGCAGCCUCCUAGGAAGAGAAGAGCCCGGCCAGAUCCUACCCUUGGAAAUGGAGAAACAGUCCUGAGCAGAGGGGAAGUCAAAGACAAAGAAGCUAGACAAAUAUUACUGUCCUAUCUGGAGCACAGCUGUCAUUUCUCAGAUGAAGAACGGAAUCUGAUAUAGACAUACAUGUAGUCAAACAGCAUUGUACAUGAAAUAAAAAUAAAAUUUUAAAAGUGUA